rnacentral:rRNA from 1 species
CAGCAGCAGCCGCGGUAAUACGAGGGGUGCAAGCGUUAUUCGGAUUGAUUGGGUGUAAAGGGUGUGCAGACGGCUUAUUAAGUCACUUGUUAAAUUCUUCGGCCUAACUGAAGGUCUGCAAGUGUUACUGAUGAGCUAGAGGGUGGAAGAGAGAAGUGGAAUUCUCGGAGUAGCGGUAAAAUGCGUAGAUCUCGAGAGGAACACCGAUGGCGAAGGCAGCUUCUUGGUCCAUUCCUGACGUUCAUACACGAAAGCGUGGGGAGCAAACAGGAUUAGAUACCCCAGUAGUCCCUGUCUCUUAUAU